rnacentral:rRNA from 1 species
AUUGAACGCUGGCGGCAUGCCUUACACAUGCAAGUCGAACGGCAGCAUGAUCUAGCUUGCUAGAUUGAUGGCGAGUGGCGAACGGGUGAGUAAUACAUCGGAACGUGCCCUGUAGUGGGGGAUAACUAGUCGAAAGAUUAGCUAAUACCGCAUACGACCUGAGGGUGAAAGUGGGGGACCGCAAGGCCUCAUGCUAUAGGAGCGGCCGAUGUCUGAUUAGCUAGUGGGUGAGGUAAAGGCUCACCAAGGCGACGAUCAGUAGCUGGUCUGAGAGGACGAUCAGCCACACUGGGACUGAGACACGGCCCAGACUCCUACGGGAGGCAGCAGUGGGGAAUUUUGGACAAUGGGCGAAAGCCUGAUCCAGCAAUGCCGCGUGUGUGAAGAAGGCCUUCGGGUUGUAAAGCACUUUUGUCCGGAAAGAAAUGGCUCUGGUUAAUACCUGGGGUCGAUGACGGUACCGGAAGAAUAAGGACCGGCUAACUACGUG